AAGCGCUCGUCACUAGACGUGCGCCCGGCGGAUAACCGGCGCUCGCGCCGGUGCAUGUCGUCGGGCGCAGGCCAGCAUCAGUCCGCCGCGGGGGACAAAGGCUUCGGGAACGUGGCUCCCCCGGGAGUGUUAUAGCCCGCUGCGCAAUGCCCUGGGGCGGACUGAGGUUCGCGCAUCCGCAUGGAUGCUGGCGUAAUGGUGACCAGCGA
rnacentral:rRNA from 1 species